rnacentral:rRNA from 1 species
GUGCUUAACACAUGCAAGUCGAACGGAAAGGCCCUGCUUGCAGGGUACUCGAGUGGCGAACGGGUGAGUAACACGUGGGUGAUCUGCCCUGCACUUCGGGAUAAGCCUGGGAAACUGGGUCUAAUACCGGAUAGGAGCCAUUUUUAGUGUGAUGGUUGGAAAGUUUUUUCGGUGUAGGAUGAGCUCGCGGCCUAUCAGCUUGUUGGUGGGGUAAUGGCCUACCAAGGCGGCGACGGGUAGCCGGCCUGAGAGGGUGGACGGCCACAUUGGGACUGAGAUACGGCCCAGACUCCUACGGGAGGCAGCAGUGGGGAAUAUUGCACAAUGGGCGCAAGCCUGAUGCAGCGACGCCGCGUGGGGGAUGACGGCCUUCGGGUUGUAAACUCCUUUCGCUAGGGACGAAGCUUUUUGUGACGGUACCUAGAUAAGAAGCACCGGCUAACUACGUGCCAGCAGCCGCGGUAAUACGUAGGGUGCGAGCGUUGUCCGGAAUUACUGGGCGUAAAGGGCUCGUAGGUGGUUUGUCGCGUCGUCUGUGAAAUUCCGGGGCUUAACUCCGGGCGUGCAGGCGAUACGGGCAUAACUUGAGUACUGUAGGGGUAACUGGAAUUCCUGGUGUAGCGGUGAAAUGCGCAGAUAUCAGGAGGAACACCGAUGGCGAAGGCAGGUUACUGGGCAGUUACUGACGCUGAGGAGCGAAAG